UACAGAGGGUGCAAGCGUUGUUCGGAAUUAUUGGGCGUAAAGGGCGCGUAGGCGGUGCGGUAAGUCUCUAGUGAAAUCUCCGGGCUCAACUCGGAGCCUGCUAGGGAAACUGCCGUGCUUGAGUGUGGGAGAGGUGAGUGGAAUUCCCGGUGUAGCGGUGGAAAUGCGUAGAUAUCGGGAGGAACACCUGUGGCGAAAGCGGCUCACUGGACCACAACUGACGCUGAGGCGCGAAAGCUAGGGGAGCAAACAGG
rnacentral:rRNA from 1 species